UGUAGAGCCUCCUUCAAUGACAUUUGCUUCUUUACUUAUUCAUGGUUUUGUGUUCCCUUGAACAGAUGAAACUUCAAGACCCUUUGGAAUGGAAGCAGGCCAGAAGAGGUGGAAGUUCUUUCUCCCCUACAGGUACUGAAAUGAACUCAAUUCACCACUGAAGGUUUCCUGUGGGCCUACAAAGGCCCUCUGCAGGCUUGCAUGAACAAAGAGAAAUCCAGAUGUCAUGGGCUCUGUUUAUUGCUUCUCAGAAUUUGAUCAUCUUCUGUCCAACAAAAAAAGAUCAGGGCCUUGAAUAGACCAUCACACUCAGGGUAAGUCAUCAAAGAGAAUGGGGAAAAAAAUCUAUUUGCUUUUUUAAGGAAAACUGCUAUCUAGGCCCUGAUCUGGCUCUUACUGAAGCUUAAAGAAGGGGUUUCAGGCAGCAGCCUGGCAGGUAUUUGAUAGACUCUAUAUUAUCGGAUUGACAAUUUUUUUCCUCUGUCGCACCCGUAUUUGUAA
rnacentral:lncRNA from 12 species